ensembl:snRNA U4 U4 spliceosomal RNA
AGCUUUGUGCAGUGGCAGUAUUAUAGCCAAUGAGGUUUAUCCGAGGCAUGAUUAUUGCUAAUUGAAGUACCCAGAUAAUGGUGUCUGAUGCACAUUUCUUGAGUUGUUUUACAGAUAUGAAAAC